GACGAACGCUGGCGGCGUGCUUAACACAUGCAAGUCGAACGGAAAGGCCCUGCUUUUGUGGGGUGCUCGAGUGGCGAACGGGUGAGUAACACGUGAGUAACCUGCCCUUGACUUUGGGAUAACUUCAGGAAACUGGGGCUAAUACCGGAUAGGAGCUCCUGCUGCAUGGUGGGGGUUGGAAAGUUUCGGCGGUUGGGGAUGGACUCGCGGCUUAUCAGCUUGUUGGUGGGGUAGUGGCUUACCAAGGCUUUGACGGGUAGCCGGCCUGAGAGGGUGACCGGCCACAUUGGGACGGAGAUACGGCCCAGACUCCUACGGGAGGCAGCAGUGGGGAAUAUUGCACAAGGGGCGGAAGCCUGAUGCAGCAACGCCGCGUGGGGGAGGACGGCCUUCGGGUGUAAACCGCUUUCGCCUGUGACGAAGCGUGAGUGACGGUAAUGGGUAAAGAAGCACCGGCUAACUACGUG
rnacentral:rRNA from 1 species